rnacentral:tRNA from 1 species
AGGGCUAUUAGCUCAGUUGGUAGAGCGCUGCCUUUGCAAGGCAGAUGUCAGCAGUUCAAGUCCGCUUAUCUCCAC